UCUUGGUGUGGAACCCUAUGCAACAAAGUCUGACAUCAACAAGGGAACUCAGGACUUCAGAAGAAACGUUGCUCGUGAAAAGAAGUUCCCACUGAUGGAGAAAGGCUGAUACAUUUCCAGCAACACCCAACAGUCUUAUAGUAAAGGCAGCGCAGAACCAAGUGCAACAGAACAGAGAACAGAAAACAGUCACCAGAGGUCCACUGGAGUUGGUGUGUGCAUACCAUGGCACAUCCAAGGAAGGUGAUCCUUGGAAGGGGAAGAAUUGGGGGACAUUGGACCCUACUUCCUUGUGGGCAGAGGCCAUGCAG